rnacentral:snoRNA from 1 species
UGGCAGUGACGAGAAAUACCUUACCUACUAAGACAGUACAAUGGUUCUAGCUACUCGUACUGUCUGAGCCU